UCUGCAUCUGCAUCUCCCUGGAGACCCACCUCAUCUAUUCAAAUCCUCUCUUCCUUACAACAUUGUAUAUUACUGAAAGUGGGCAAUUAACUAGGCCAAGAAGUGAACAUGAGAAUGGCAACAGCCUGGGAACUAUACCCCCACCUCCACCCCGAUUCCAGAGACUGAGAUUACCCAUGCCCUCAGGAUCAUCAAAUGAACUUCACCCAGGUAGCCUAUUUUGACCAAUAGAGGCAAUCCAAGUUACCUCAUCCCUGACAACCACCCUAUAAGAGGCUACACCCAUGUUCUAUGGAGUGGAAUUUUGGUAGCUACCUUUAUGAUACACUUUUAUCCAUGGACUAUAAGGAUGAAAGCAGAAGAGAAGGCUAGCUUCUGUGGGCUUAGGUGCUUCUUGAUCAAGGUAAAGGAAACCUUGGGGUGGACUUCCUUUCUGGUGCUUCUUUGGUCAGGGAAACUGAAACCACAGGAGGUGGCAUGAUUCUGUGAUUGACUGGAAAUAACUGAAAUCUCUGAAAGCAGCACAGUGGUUAAUGGGGCCCUACUGUAUUUCUCUGAAAUAACCUUGUUAUAUCUAUCUGAUAAAACUUUUCUUAAAAUGAGAGGCAAUUUAGGUCUUUUUUGUCAUCAGCAUGGUCUAUAUCUGAAACCCAAACAAGACAUGAAAGUACCCCUGAAAAUUGUGUAUUUGUCUUUAAAAUAAUAUGCACUCAGGCUGAAGUAGAUCAGGCCAAGAUGGCACUUGAAAUUGUCAUUUACCCUCUAAAUGGCCACUGAAGGACAAAAUUCAUCCAAAAGAAUACUAGAGUGGCAGAACCAAUAUAAAGAAAGAGGAAGAAGUUCUCAAGCCCAUAACAACAUGGAGAAACAACACAGAGGAUUCUUCUCAGUGUGGUAUGUGGAAGAGAUUCUGAAUAUGUCUUAGCAGAACUGAGACAUGAUAUACUUCAAGUGACAGAAAAAAAAGCCAGCCAGUUUAGUUCAUUCUCAACAGAGUAAGAGCAAGGACCAACACAAUACAGAACAAGCACCAUUAGGCAUAACUCAGUCUUAUAAGGUCCAGUCUCUAUGGAACUGUGCAGAAUCCAACUCCAACCAACUGAACUGAACAAUUAAAAAUCUCUAUAAAGCAAGUUAAUCAGACCACCUUUUUAGUGUGCUCAAUCCAAAACCACGACAUCUGAGCCAACCCCAGGCACAGAAAAAUGUGGGACAGUACUCCCUCCUCCCCAGGAAGAGAGCUAGUUUUCAGUAGAUAGACAAAAUCAAGGGGAAAAUAAUCCUAAAUAAGCAAAAGACAGAGAAAAAGCUUGACAUUAGAAAUAUGUCUCAAGAAGAGAGAUGACCAAAAUACAAACUUAGAAGAUGACAGAAAUACAAAAAUUAAAAAUGUAUCAAGCAUCAAAGGAAAAUAUAAAAGGAUGUUAGGCCCAAAAUGAACUCUUGGAAGCACUCCAAAAAAAAAAAAACCUCAGGAGAAAAAUUAGAAAAAUAAAUGAUAGAAGAAAUUAAAAUAAAAUCUUGCU
rnacentral:lncRNA from 1 species